GGGGGCGAUUAAGUUUCGACAGAGUUUGUUUUGUGAAAUGUAAAGCAUUUGGCGGUUCGUCCUUACGCCUAAAACAAGAACACACAAAUUAAACGCAGACAAAAAUGCAAACAAUGUUGAAUCAAUGAACGUUAUGCCUUGCGCUGCCUAAGUUGAUUUAACACGCCUAAUUAGAGCAUAAUCUAAUUCGCCAGUUUUUGCUUUGCCAACAAAAAUUUAGGUGUCAGUUCGGCAAACCUUUUAUGCAAAUUUCUUCCUUGUAUGCAUAAAAAAUUUAAAGGAAUUGCUUUGAAAACUUGUUUGUGAGCGACUUUAAAGUGAAAUUUAAGCACAAACUAAAAAUGUAGAAAAGUUUCACAAAAAAAUUUUGGACUCGGGAGCAUAACCCGACGCCUCCAC
rnacentral:tmRNA from 1 species